rfam:Bacillus sp. LF1 genome assembly, contig: CONTIG000005
GAAUUCCCGUCGAGUAAGAACUAGCCAUUCGCUCGUAGCGAGUCUUGGAGGGCUAAAGGUAACUUUAGUCUUUAAGCGUAGACAGUUAGGUGGAGCAGCCGUCAAGGCUGAGAAUC